UACGAAGGGGGCUAGCGUUGUUCGGAUUUACUGGGCGUAAAGCGCACGUAGGCGGAUUUUUAAGUCAGGGGUGAAAUCCCGGGGCUCAACCCCGGAACUGCCUUUGAUACUGGAAGUCUUGAGUAUGGUAGAGGUGAGUGGAAUUCCGAGUGUAGAGGUGAAAUUCGUAGAUAUUCGGAGGAACACCAGUGGCGAAAGGCGGCUCACUGGACCAUUACUGACGCUGAGGUGCGAAAGCGUGGGGAGCAAACAGG
rnacentral:rRNA from 1 species